UCCAAGAGCUUCUGUCAUGAGUGGCACAUGUAAGGCAAUUCCAUUGCUCUUCAAACAGAAUCAACAUGCAAAGAUUUUGGAAGCAUUUUUUUUUUAUUUGGGAAGCUGAUGAUUGUUUGUCCCAGGGUUCUU
ensembl:snRNA